rnacentral:lncRNA from 1 species
CUUGACAUUCAUCUCAAAAAUCCAUUUCAGCUAACAGAGAAACAUGGAUUCCCCAGGGCCAGGAUGGUUGCCAUGCGUCGUCCCAGUUGGACAAGAGGUGUGCCAUGGAACCCUUCUGUCCACUCCUGUUGGCAAGUUUUAGCUUGUCGCUUGCCACAGCUGGCCAGGGCAACGACACCACCCCAACAGAGAGCAACUGGACCAGUACAACUGCAGGUCCUCCGGACCCUGGCACGUCCCAGCCGCUGCUUACCUGGCUGCUGCUGCCUCUGCUCCUCCUCCUGUUCCUCCUUGCAGCCUACUUCUUCAGGUUCAGGAAGCAGAGGAAAGCCGUGGUCAACAGCAACGACAAGAAGAUGCCUAACGGGAUCCUAGAAGAACAAGAUCCAUGAGGAAUGCUGUCAGACCAUCUGAGGGAUGAGUCAGCCAUGGGCGAUGGAACUAAGUGGCUUCUCUGUUGCUCCUGGCCCUACAGAGCAGCAGAGAGUGAUGCUACUGAGCAGAUCUCCAUCGGGUCCCAAGAAGUACUUCCCCAUCCCUGUGGAGCACCUGGAGGAGGAGAUCCGGGUGAGAUCUGCGGAUGACUGCAAGCGGUUCCGAGAGGAGUUCAAUUCAUUGCCAUCCGGACACAUACAAGGAACCUUUGAACUAGCAAAUAAAGAAGAAAACAGAGAAAAA